rnacentral:rRNA from 1 species
AGCACUUCGGUGUGAGAUAGAGUGGCGGACGGGUGAGUAACGCGUGGGAAUCUACCCAGUAGUGGGGGACAACUACCGGAAACGGUAGCUAAUACCGCAUACGCCCUAUGGGGGAAAGGCUUCGGCCGCUAUUGGAUGAGCCCGCGUCAGAUUAGCUAGUUGGUAGGGUAAAGGCCUACCAAGGCAACGAUCUGUAGCUGGUCUGAGAGGACGAACAGCCACACUGGGACUGAGACACGGCCCAGACUCCUACGGGAGGCAGCAGUGGGGAAUAUUGGACAAUGGGCGAAAGCCUGAUCCAGCAAUGCCGCGUGUGUGAAGAAGGCCUGCGGGUUGUAAAGCACUUUCAGUUGGGAAGAUGAUGACGUUACCAACAGAAGAAGCACCGGCUAAAUCCGUGCCGGCAGCCGCGGUAAUACGGAUGGUGCGAGCGUUAAUCGGAAUUACUGGGCGUAAAGCGCGCGUAGGCGGCUAAGUCAGUCAGAAGUGAAAGCCCCGGGCUCGACCUGGGAAUUGCUUUUGAUACUGCUUAGCUAGAGUUUGGUAGAGGAUAGUGGAAUUUCAGGUGUAGCGGUGAAAUGCGUAGAUAUCUGAAGGAACAUCAGUGGCGAAGGCGACUGUCUGGACCAAAACUGACGCUGAGGUGCGAAAGCGUGGGUAGCAAACAGGAUUAGAUACCCUGGUAG